AGUGAACAUUGGCGGUAGGCUUAACACAUGCAAGUCGAGCGAGGCGUACUAGUCGAGCGGCGAACGGGUGAGUAAUACAUGGGAAUCUACCUCGAAGUGGGGGAUAACGUUCAGAAAUGGACGCUAAUACCGCAUAAUCCGGGAACGGGAAGGCGCGCUGCGCUUUGAGAUGAGCCCAUGGCUGAUUAGCUAGGUGGUGGGGUAAAGGCCUACCAAGGCGACGAUCAGUAGCUGGUCUGAGAGGAUGAUCAGCCACACUGGAACUGAGACACGGCCCAUACGCCUACGGGAGGCCGCAGGGGGGAGUCUUGCGCAAUGGGGGCAACCCUGACGCAGCCAUACCGCGUGUGCGAUAAAGGUCUUCUGAUUGUAAAGCAUGUUCAGUGGGGACGACGAUGACGGUACCCACAGAAGAAGUCACGGCUAACUUCGUGCCAGCCGCCGCAGUAA
rnacentral:rRNA from 1 species